rnacentral:rRNA from 1 species
UACGUAGGGGGCAAGCGUUGUCCGGAUUUAUUGGGCGUAAAGCGCUCGCAGGUGGUUCGUCGCGUCGUGCGUGAAAGACCCCGGCUCAACUGGGGGGAGGUCGUGCGAUACGGGCGAACUGGAGGCCAGUAGGGGGAUGCGGAAUUCCGGGGUGUAGUGGUGGAAUGCGUAGAGAUCCGGAGGAACACCAGCGGCGAAGGCGGCUCCUGGACUG